GACAGAGGGCGCAAGUGUUAUUCGUUUUGAUUGGGUGUAAAGGUAUGUAGGCAGCACCGAAUUUUUUGGCUCAAAGCGCGGAGUACUACUACGCUUAAGCCUUUUUUUGAUGGUAGCUUGUGUUAGGAAGAGGUUUAGGCAAGUCUGUAUGUAGGGGUAGAAUCCAGCGAUAUACGGACGAACGUCAUUUGGCGCAGGCGCUUUUCCAGUUCUAACGGACGCUGAGGUACGGAAGCUUAGGGAGCAAACGGG
rnacentral:rRNA from 1 species